AAAUUAAUUAAUUUGUUCAUAAAAAUGACUUAGCAAAGGGACCUUAAGAUUGUGGAUUGUGUAUGUUUCUUAAAUUCAACCUGAAAUAUCACAUUUAUGGGUACUUUAAAUGCCCAUAUGUAUAUGGUCCUUCCUUUGGAUCCAGAAAUGUAAUUCAAGGUGUGUAUAAGGAAGCCUAAAAUGUAAAUUCCACAAUGAUAUUUUUUGGGGAAAAAUGCAAAUGGCUAGCACUCCAGUCCUCCUUUAGCAAGAGCCAAGCUUGUUUGAUAUUUUGAAAUGAUUGCUUUUAUUUUUCUGGGAAUUAGAUAACUGACUCAUGUACUUGUGUUUUACCUGCUCUAAAAUUCACAUUCCUCUCCUGUUGCUAUUCAGAGCUUAAGCCUCCGUGUGUCCACUUGCUAUGACUGGGUGCAUCUUCUUGGUGGCUCCUUGACCUUCAUUUUACCACUCUUUCUCACACCUAAUCACCAGGGAGCUCCAACUAAAGCACAGUCCCCCUUUCUCGAUCUCCACCAUCACACUCAUCUCCAUUGGUACAUCUUUUCUUUUGCUAAAAGUCAAAACCUCACUAAAAAAUGACUUCUUAGAAUAAUCACCAAUGUCAGGCUUCCUUGGUUUUAAGAAAUACAUCUCUGAAGCAGAAGGGGCUGGAUUCAAUUGACUGGAAUUCUCUCAGAUCCAUCACAAAAGACCCAGGCCUUGCUCUCCCUCCCAACUUGUAGUAGUUUCCAAAGUGAAGACAGCAGCAGUUUUUCUUUGUCUAUAAUACAUGGUUUGUAUUACUGACAUCUUCAAACAAACCUGGAUUUCAAAUUCCUCUCAGAAAGAUUGGGGGAUGGGAGGAGUUACAUACUCUAAAGACCCCUAUAUUGUGGUUCAAGAAAAAGGUCUGGAUCUUAGAAGGUAACAAGGUGAUUGUUUUUAAUCCUUCAACUGCUUUGCCUCUCAGUGCCAUUCACCGUGAUGUUUGUAGGUCAGUGGUGCAACUCAACACUCUUCCUAUAAAGCCAUAAUAAUAAUCGCUGGCACAACUAUUACUACAGCAGAACUUCCCUGGAUUUCAUCUAUUAAUUCUUGUAGACCGGAGGAAGCUCACACCCAGCAGACAUCUGUGGCUUUCUGGACAAGGACAAGGGAAGGAACCAGCAUGCAGUCUAUACUGCUUAGAUGCACAAAGCACAGCUCUGUGCCACUGGCAGUAUUCCCAGAGAGGUAGAUGAGAAGGGAGACUUUGGGUAGGAAACAGGUCUAGAACUUCUCUCUAGAGUAGCCUUUGAUGGUUACUGAUGGCAAUUCUUUCGCACCAGAUAAACUCGGUGGACAACUUUGGUAGUAAACUGAACUCAUCCUCAGCCAGCACAAGUGACAAUCCAUAAAGAAAAGAGCGGCAUGUCAUCGUGCCAGAAACCUCUUCUGAAGAGGUGAUCAUGAAUACCCCAUCCAGGGCCCAAAAGGAAAGAACAGCCUGUUCAUAUACUGUAUUCACAGUUUAAAUAAAUCACAAAUAACCUUCAAAGACAGAAAGGAGGAGAGUAGAAGAAAGAAGGGAAGUCAUUGUGAGAGGAGAUUUUACCUUGGAAAAUGUAGUAAGCAUUCCUAAUACUCCUCCAGCUGAUCUCGAAGAUUGCUCACACACCUAAAGCUAUUUUUUUUUAAAUAAUCUCACUGCACUUUGAAAUUCCUGAAGGGUGGUGUGGCAGUGAUACAUUUGGAUUAUUCACUGAUUUUUUUCAAAUUUUAGUUUUUCAUGCUAAUGAAUGUAAUCUGUAAGAAUUGCCAUUUUGAGUACACAACACACACACACAGGUAUAUACACCAUGUAUAUACCUUUACUAAUUUUGUAGAAAAC
rnacentral:lncRNA from 1 species